rnacentral:rRNA from 1 species
CACGUAGGGCGCGAGCGUUGUCCGGAAUUAUUGGGCGUAAAGAGCUCGUAGGCGGCCUGUUGCGUCCGCUGUGAAAGCCCGGGGCUUAACCCCGGGUCGGCAGUGGAUACGGGCAGGCUAGAGGUAGGUAGGGGAGAAUGGAAUUCCCGGUGUAGUGGUGGAAUGCGUAGAUAUCGGGAGGAACACCAGUGGCGAAGGCGGUUGCCUGGGGCUUUGCUGACGCUGAUGCGCGAAAGCGUGGGGAGCGAUCCGG